UACAGAGGUCUCGAGCGUUGUUCGGAUUCAUUGGGCGUAAAGGGCGCGUAGGCUGCGGGGCGAGUCGGGUGUGAAAUCUCAGAGCUCAACUCUGAAACUGCACUCGAUACUGCUUUGCUUGAGGACUGGAGAGGAGAUUGGAAUUCACGGUGUAGCAGUGAAAUGCGUAGAUAUCUGGAGGAACACCGGUGGCGAAGGCGGCAUCCUGGACCGGCAUUGACGCUGAGGCGCGAAAGCCAGGGGAGCAAACGGG
rnacentral:rRNA from 1 species